CCUACGGGAGGCUGCAGUGGAGAAUAUUGCGCAAUGGGCGAAAGCCUGACGCUGCGACGCCGCGUGAGGGAUGAAGGUCUUCGGAUCGUAAACCUCUGUCAGCAGGGAAGAACGGUCACUGGGCUAAUCAGCAGUGAAUUGACGGUACCUGCAAAGGAAGCACCGGCUAACUCCGUGCCAGCAGCCGCGGUAAUACGGAGGGUGCGGGCGUUAAUCGGAAUUACUGGGCGUAAAGCGGUCGUAGGCGGUAUGGCAAGUCACGGGGGAAAUGCCCGCGCUCAACCUGGGAACUGCACUUGAAACUGGCAAACUAGAGUGUGUGAGAGGAGAGUGGAAUUCCAGGUGUAGGAGUGAAAUCCGUAGAUAUCGGGAGGAACAUCAGUGGCGAAGGCGACUAGCUGGAACAUAACUGACGCUGAGGAGCGAAGGCGUGGGUAGCAAACAGGAUUAGAUACCCGAGUAGUC
rnacentral:rRNA from 1 species